CAAAGAGUAGUUUAAUCUAAAAAUGCCGGCUUUGGGGGUCGGAGAUGGGUACACCCUUUUUGA
rnacentral:tRNA from 1 species